CGAGAAAUGUAAACAAAACUACCAUGUGGUGAGAUAAAAACUUCUCAGUACAAUGGAUUCUAAAGAAAACUUAAAUUUAAAAGAUUUUUUUUUAUAAUCUCAUUCAAGACACAAAUGGAUUCUAAUAUAGAAGCCCUACAAAACGAAGUUCAAUUUUACAGGCAAAACCAAACUGUCGUAGAACAAGAGAUUAGAACACUGAUAGCCGAUAAUCAUAAGCUGUCACAGCAAGUGGGUGCGUUGUUGAAGGAGAAGCUUCACCAUGCGCAGCAGGCUCACGAGAACAACGGCAACAGUGAUGAAAUCGAAGAGCUGAGGAGACAAGUCUCAUUGCUGACUAAGGAAAGAGAUUCACUCCAUGUUCUUUGGCAGACAUCGCAGAAAACCAUUGAUGCUUUAGAUAUAGAAUUAAAAACAUACCAGACCUACGAUAAUAGACGAGGAAAUCAGACAACAACAGACGAAAAAAGAGACUUGGAUCUUAAGUUAGAAACAGCACUCUCCGAUUAUGUCGAGUUGGAAUCAAGAUACAAAAAAUUGCGCAACGAAAAUAAUUCAUUAGAAAGUGAUUUGAAAACUAAAGAAAGGGAAAUAACAUCUUAUAAAGAAAGGCUUAAAGAACUAGAAGAAGAAUUAGCGGAACUCAAAAAAUGUUUGGAAGAACACAAGAUAAAUAUAUCUUCAGAAAUAAAGAGCCGUGAAGACACUAAAACUCAACUAACAAUAUGCCAGAAAGAAUGUGUUGAUAUAAUUAAAAGGGAAGCAGAAGCCAAAUCCAAGUUUUUACAGGUUGCAGAAGCAUUACAACUUUUUGAUUUGGUAACAGGUCAAAAAAAUGAAGCUUAUAAGAAAAUUGCAGACCUCACAGCUGAAUUGUCAACGUUAAGGCAAAAAUUUACUGAUGUCCACCGUGACAUAGAAUCAAGUUAUAGAAAAGAGAUUGAAGAAGUUAAAGAGAAUUACAACGAAAAGGUUUCUGAUAUGCUUCAGCAUAUUAGAAAUCUUGAUGGUGAGCUUGUUGAAAAGGGACUUUUACUAAACAAGGCUUUAAGGGAAAUCAAAAUUCUACAAGCAACAAAUGAAAACUACGUUAAGAUGGAACAAAACAAUUUAAAAGCCGCAGAUCCUAAACUUGCAAUCGCCGAACAAAGACUUGAGGCUAUGUACCAAGAACUGGUUGCGUCGGAACGUCGCAACAUACAAUUAGUAUGUGAGAAACAAUGCCUAACAAUGGACAUACAGAGAAUUCAAGAUGCACAAACAAGAGAUAGUAAAAGACGCGACUGGGAAGAGAGUCUUAUGAAGACACAAACUGAUGAAUUGAAAUUACAAGUGGAUCAUCUCCAAAAAUCAUUGGACGAAACCCAUAAAAUGGUCAACAAAUUGCAAUCUAUGUUAUCAUCGAGGGCAGAGAUAAGCCAAAAAAUGGUUUCAACGAAAGAAGAGGAACUGAUGGAACUAAAUAAACAUCUUGAAAAUCAAAUGGAACUUAGUAAAAAAUGGAAGGAAUCUUAUAUAGACAUGACAGAAAAACUAAAGAAGAAAUUAGAUAACUUGGAUAAAGAAAAUAAAGAACUCCGAAACCAGUUAAACAUUAGCUCUUUUAAUCACGAUAACAGUACGUCAAGUUGAAGACACUAAAAAUUUAUCAUCUCACAUUGCUGUUAAGCGCAUGCGCCAAUUUAUAUAAAAUAACUCAUAAAAGGUUUGUCUCCUUAAGCUCUGACAGGCCACUGUGGACUCAAUGGACACUAGAUCACUGGUUAUAGAUAUAAUCUGCAGGACUAUGCAGUGAAACACCACUGCAUCUUUGACUACCCUGCACUAAUUAAUUAGUGUAGCAUUCAUCUAGGGAAUUAAUAUCGG